rnacentral:rRNA from 1 species
CGGAAUCUUGAGAGCGGCGCACGGGUGCGGAACACGUGUGCAACCUGCCUUUAUCUGGGGGAUAGCCUUUCGAAAGGAAGAUUAAUACCCCAUAAUAUAUUGAGUGGCAUCACUUGAUAUUGAAAACUCCGGUGGAUAGAGAUGGGCACGCGCAAGAUUAGAUAGUUGGUGAGGUAACGGCUCACCAAGUCAAUGAUCUUUAGGGGGCCUGAGAGGGUGAUCCCCCACACUGGUACUGAGACACGGACCAGACUCCUACGGGAGGCAGCAGUGAGGAAUAUUGGACAAUGGGUGAGAGCCUGAUCCAGCCAUCCCGCGUGAAGGACGACUGCCCUAUGGGUUGUAAACUUCUUUUAUACUGGGAUAAACCUACCCUUCGUGAGGGUAGCUGAAGGUACAGUAUGAAUAAGCACCGGCUAACUCCGUGCCAGCAGCCGCGGUAAUACGGAGGGUGCAAGCGUUAUCCGGAUUUAUUGGGUUUAAAGGGUCCGUAGGCGGACUCGUAAGUCAGUGGUGAAAUCUCAUAGCUUAACUAUGAAACUGCCAUUGAUACUGCGGGUCUUGAGUAAAGUAGAAGUGGCUGGAAUAAGUAGUGUAGCGGUGAAAUGCAUAGAUAUUACUUAGAACACCAAUUGCGAAGGCAGGUCACUAUGUUUUAACUGACGCUGAUGGACGAAAGCGUGGGGAGCGAACAGGAUUAGAUACCCUGGUAGUCCACGCCGUAAACGAUGCUAACUCGUUUUUGGGUUUUCGGAUUCAGAGACUAAGCGAAAGUGAUAAGUUAGCCACCUGGGGAGUACGUUCGCAAGAAUGAAACUCAAAGGAAUUGACGGGGGCCCGCACAAGCGGUGGAUUAUGUGGUUUAAUUCGAUGAUACGCGAGGAACCUUACCAAGGCUUAAAUGGGAAUUGACAGGUUUAGAAAUAGAUCCUUCUUCGGACAAUUUUCAAGGUGCUGCAUGGUUGUCGUCAGCUCGUGCCGUGAGGUGUUAGGUUAAGUCCUGCAACGAGCGCAACCCCUGUCACUAGUUGCCAUCAUUCAGUUGGGGACUCUAGUGAGACUGCCUACGCAAGUAGAGAGGAAGGUGGGGAUGACGUCAAAUCAUCACGGCCCUUACGCCUUGGGCCACACACGUAAUACAAUGGCCGGUACAGAGGGCAGCUACUAUGCGAAUAGAUGCGAAUCUCGAAAGCCGGUCUCAGUUCGGAUUGGAGUCUGCAACUCGACUC